CACACCGGAAGUCGUGGGAGGGAGAGCUCAUGCUCAGCCCCGAAGAACGGUGUGUGGACCGUGCGCGAGCGGCCAUACAGUCAUUGCAGCCUGACAUUUCCUCUUGCUGACUGCAUUUUCUUCAACAUGAUUCUUACAAAGAGAUUUAGGACUGCAGACACUGUCUUGUUCUAUUUUUGGAUGACAUCAGUUACUUAACACUGCAAAGAAGAUGUCAUGCCAUAUAACAGAUUUCAACAUUCAAAUUCCAGUUGCCUUCUUAUUUAAAUGUAUUGAGAUAUAUUGCAACACUUCCAGAAGAAUAAACAUCAGUACCUUUCUCACA